GGGAAUAGCUCAGUUGGUAGAGCAUAACCUUGCCAAGGUUGGGGUCGCGAGUUCGAGUCUCGUUUCCCGCUCCA
rnacentral:tRNA from 2 species